rnacentral:rRNA from 1 species
UACGUAGGUGGCAAGCGUUGUCCGGAAUUAUUGGGCGUAAAGCGUGCGUAGGCGGUUCGUUAAGUCUGUUGUGAAAGCCCCGGGCUCAACCUGGGAAUGGCAAUGGAUACUGGCGAGCUAGAGUGUGUCAGAGGAUGGUGGAAUUCCCGGUGUAGCGGUGAAAUGCGUAGAGAUCGGGAGGAACAUCAGUGGCGAAGGCGGCCAUCUGGGACAACACUGACGCUGAGGCACGAAAGCGUGGGGAGCAAACAGG